UUUGUGAGAACGGGAGGGAGAGCACAGCCAAUAAACGAGCGAGCCCAGCCCCGGAAGUUUGCGUCACCAGUUUGAGCUUCGAUCGGGGACGAUACAUUAAGUGCAGAAUGUUUGUGAUGCUUUAAUAAUUAAACGCGUAAUAUAAGAAAAAAAUUCUUACUGUUGCAACAUAUAAUCUGCCUCGGAAAUCUCAUGCGAGAGCAGAAAACUAAUUUAAGCGGCAUAUAUUUUGGUUUAGUCCGCUAGGUGGUAUCGCGCAAGCCAAAACAAAUUGGCGGGAGCGCGCAGUUCAAUUGCAAAAUCGCUCUUCGUCGGUUGCAAAAUGUCGUCUCACAAGAACGUCAGGCUUGGCCCUCACGUGUCGCCACACCAACGUGAACUGUUGGUGGCGUUCAUGGAGGGCCAUCCGUACCUUGUGCGGACAUCAUGCGCACUCACACCGGAGUGCACGGUGGAGCGGAGGCGGCAGCUUUGGAGUGAGCUCGCCGCCCUGCUGAACACAGAGGGCCCGGCCGCCAAGACAGCCGAACAGUGGCAAGUGUUUUGGCGGAAGGAAGUAUUUCUUUCCCGCCGAGAUGCCGCCGCAGCUUCCGCAAGUUAAAGGUGAGUGCGAGGAGCGGUUCUGUUGCUCGCGAUAUUUACAAUGCUGUCCGUAAUUGCAGCGGCACGGGUGGAGGCCGUCUGCCCGGCCUUCGUGGCCGUGUCAUCGCCUUAGUGGGCACCUCCACGGUGACCGGAGUGUGCGAGCCCUUCUACCAACCGCUCGACGAGCCCGCCAUGGAGGUGACCGUCCAAACGCAAUCUGUGGGCACCACCGCUGGAACAAGCGGCCUUUCACGUGAAGGAGCACUGCAGCAGCCAGGAGUGGUCCCUGUUGAGCCACUGCCCCGAAGCCCUCCAGCCACUGCACAGCCUGCAGCUGGCCCUGGCGGAGCGAG